AGGUAGUUGGUGAGGUAACGGCCCACAAAGCCGACGAUCCAUAGCCGACCUGAGAGGGUGACCGGCCACAUUGGGACUGAGACACGGCCCAAACUCCUACGGGAGGCAGCAGUGGGGAAUAUUGCACAAUGGGGGAAACCCUGAUGCAGCGACGCCGCGUGAGCGAAGAAGUAUUUCGGUAUGUAAAGCUCUAUCAGCAGGGAAGAAAAUGACGGCACCUGACUAAGAAGCCCCGGCUAACUACGUGCCAGCAGCCGCGGUAAUACGUAGGGGGCAAGCGUUAUCCGGAUUUACUGGGUGUAAAGGGAGCGUAGACGGCUUUGCAAGUCUGAUGUGAAAGGCGGGGGCUCAACCCCUGGACUGCAUUGGAAACUGUGAGGCUUGAGUGCCGGAGGGGUAAGCGGAAUUCCUAGUGUAGCGGUGAAAUGCGUAGAUAUUAGGAGGAACACCAGUGGCGAAGGCGGCUUACUGGACGGUAACUGACGUUGAGGCUCGAAAGCGUGGGGAGCAAACAAGAUUAGAUACCCUGGUAGUCCACGCGGUAAACGAUGAAUACUAGGUGUUGGGUGUCACAGACAUUCGGUGCCGCAGCAAACGCAAUAAGUAUUCCACCUGGGGAGUACGUUCGCAAGAAUGAAACUCAAAGGAAUUGACGGGGACCCGCACAAGCGGUGGAGCAUGUGGUUUAAUUCGAAGCAACGCGAAGAACCUUACCAAGUCUUGACAUCUCCCUGGCAGAGUAUGUAAUGUACUUUUCCUUCGGGGCAGGGAAGACAGGUGGUGCAUGGUUGUCGUCAGCUCGUGUCGUGAGAUGUUGGGUUAAGUCCCGCAACGAGCGCAACCCUUAUCCUCAGUAGCCAGCGGUUCGGCCGGGCACUCUGUGGAGACUGCCAGGGAUAACCUGGAGGAAGGUGGGGAUGACGUCAAAUCAUCAUGCCCCUUAUGACUUGGGCUACACACGUGCUACAAUGGCGUAAACAAAGGGAAGCAAGAGAGCGAUCUGGAGCAAAUCCCAAAAAUAACGUCCCAGUUCGGAUUGUAGUCUGCAACUCGACUACAUGAAGCUGGAAUCGCUAGUAAUCGCGAAUCAGAAUGUCGCGGUGAAUACGUUCCCGGGUCUUGUACACACCGCCCGUCACACCAUGGGAGUCGGUAACGCCCGAAGUCAGUGACCCAACCGAAAGGAGGGAGCUGCCGAAGGCGGGACUGGUAACUGGGGUGAAGUCGGAACAAGGUAGCCGUAUCGGAAGGUGCGGCUG
rnacentral:rRNA from 1 species